UGAUGAUUUAGUUAGGUCUACAAAACAAACUACCUCAACUGUGCUUAGGCUUUUGUGUCAUCUUAUACCCAAAUCUACUUACUUGGUCAACAGGACCUUUUGUAUACAUGUCUUUGAAUUUUUGCUAUAUACAGGGUAUUAUAAAUUCUAAACAUGUACUCCCCUGUUCCAAAAUCUUAGAGCAAAAUAUUUUUUGUUUUGUUUUAAAAUAAAUGAGUAAAAUAACUUUCGAAAGUAUAACUAUACAAGUGAGUGUCUCAUUGAGAAUAAGCUAUCUCCUUAAUAUUUACAUUUUUAGUUUGUUGCGCUUAUAACACGAAGAUAGUAAUCACUUUACCUGAGUCCUUGUAUGAUAUUCGGGAUUAGCUGAUUAUUAGUUACUAGACCCAAGCGACUCUUUUUAAUAUUUGCUAGACCCAAGGUAGGCUUUGCAAAAAAAUCAAUUGUUUGACCAUUCUGUUCCAGUAUUAUGUCUAUCAAUGUAUUAAUCCAUUGAUUCAGUAGCAGAGUGAAGAAGGGAAGGACUCAACUGAAAUUGACAAGACGCCAGAGCCAGUGAAAGAAGAGGCGCGUGAUGCUGAUGUGCCUGAAACCAAGACACCUGAAGUUGAGAAAACUGAAACUUUGGUAGAAAAAACAUCCACGCCACCGAUUGUUGAUGCUCCUGUUGAGGUGGAAGCAGAAAAAGCAAUUGAUGUUGCACCAGCUACUGAUAAGACUGAAACUAUGGUAGAAAUAGCAUCCACGCCACCAAUUUUGAUGCUCCAGUCAAGGUCGAGGCAGAAAAAGGCAAUUGAAGUAGCACCAGUUACUGAUAAGACUGAAACUUUGGUAGAAAAAACAUCAAAAGGCAAAUACAAGUUUAGAGAGAGAAAAUUGAAGACAAAUAUUUGGCCCUAUAUUAAAUUACACAAAUUAAAGACUUUAGAACUCACAAUUUAAGGAACAAGAAGUAGUGAUAAGAUUCCAUCCUGGCUCGGAGUCGGAGAUGAGGUUCCGUCCAGAUUUUGGUCGGACGUGCGAUUAGGGCAGAAACAGAAAUGAAAAAUCGAGAUCUAGGGUUCUGGCUUUUGGGUUAGGGGCUUAGGUUAGGGCAGAAACAGAGAUGAGAAAUCGAGAUCUGAGAAUCUGAGGGUUUGAGGAAUGAUCGGAUGAGAGAUCGAGAUGAGAGAUGUUAGAACUCAGACGAGAGAUGAGAGAUCGAGAGUUCGACUGUUAGAGAUCGAGAGAAAUCGGGGGCUGAGAAAUGAAAUGAGAGUUGAGAGUUGAGAGUAAUUAGGACUAAUGGACUAUUA
rnacentral:lncRNA from 1 species